GUGGGCGUAGCUCAGCCUGGCAGAGCACUUGACUGUGGCUCAAGACGUCGCGGGUUCAAAUCCCGUCGCCUACCCCA
rnacentral:tRNA from 1 species